CCUACGGGUGGCAGCAGUAGGGAAUAUUGCUCAAUGGGGGCAACCCUGAAGCAGCAAAGCCGCGUGGAGGAUGAAGGUUUUCGGAUUGUAAACUCCUUUUUUUAGAGAAGUUAAUUGCGGUAUGUAACGAAUAAGCACCGUCUAACUCCGUUCCAGCAGCCGCGGUAAUACGGAGGGUGCAAGCGUUACUCGGAAUCACUGAGCGUAAAGAGCGCGUAGGCGGGAUAUAAAGUCAGAUGUGAAAUCCUAUGGCUUAACCAUAGAACUGCAUUUGAAACUGUUAUUCUAGAGUAUGGGAGAGGUAGGUGGAAUUCGUGGUGUAGGGGUAAAAUCCGUAGAGAUCAAGAAGAAUACUCAUUGCGAAGGCGACCUGCUAGAACAUAACUGACGCUGAUGCGCGAAAGCGUGGGGAGCAAACAGGAUUAGAUACCCCGGUAGUC
rnacentral:rRNA from 1 species